rnacentral:lncRNA from 1 species
AGUCGUGUGCUGGGUGAGACUGGCUUUCAAAUCCCUGUCUUAAAACCUUCCCUCUUCAAAUGUCACACUGGAAGGAUGUUCUGGACUGGUCUUUCACUUCAGUGUUGCUUUCAGGCUUCUUAUGUUAAAAAAACUCUACAUAGUUGCUGGGUCCUUAGGAAAAGAGAAAAAAUCAAUGAUGCCUGGUGGGUUGGUUUUGCUGCCAUUCUCAGGAGCCUUCCUGUAUAUUCUGCUGCUGCAAUCGCCCUCUUGGUUGUGUUUCAGAUGCUCACUGGCAGCUCCAUCCUGUGCUCUAGAACAUCUCCCAACUGCUGCUAAGGAAUAUAUAAUCUCCUUUCUUUUUCUCUGCAGGAUUUUAGCUGAUGCAAAAGUGAGGACAGCAAAUGGUCUUUUGUUUUCUUUUCCCCCAUUAUGCCUACCCACACAUCUUGAGUAGGACGUAAGACCCUUGUGCAAUACACUGGAAACAAACAAACAAAACAGCCGUAUGCUCUUUCUCCUUCACUUGAAACUAAACAUAUAGAUUGAGAUCUAAAUUUGAACAAAAAACAGGAAUAUAAAAUAUGGACAGCAUGAUGGCUAAUGUCAAAGGAAGGUAUUUACCCGAGUUACUUCUCUUUCUCUACUGCCUGUCUUCCAAGCAAGUUUUUGUCAUCCUAGUGAAAAUCAAAAGAUGGGCAGGAACAAAAAAACCCACCCCUUCCAGUAAUCACCCCUCUGUAUGCAUGGAUGCUCUCUAAGUUCAUAUAGGCUAUUACAUCACAUGUGCACACCAAACUACUGUGAUGUCAGUUUAUGUUGCUUGGAUAUCGUAAUGUGCUAGUGAUAAACAAGCAAAUCUAUCCUUAAUGACAUAGGGAAUUUUGAUUAGGGGAAUUUCCAGGGGAGGGAGGAAUUACUACUAGAUCUUAGACUCCAGUCCUUAAAAUGGUAUCAAACUCCUCCUAAGAGAGGAAAGGCUUACAAACUUCUAGUCAGGAGUGGAUUCAUUACUAUGGUUUUUUUGCCCCCACGGACCUUUAGUGUCCAGCUCCGUCUAGCUGAAACUAAUGAGAUCUUUUCACUGCCUCAAUGCCGAAAUGACUUGACUUUGAAGAAGCUUAAGCCCCAUUUGGAAUUACUGACUGGGAUACCCCUUAAUUUCCGGUGGCUUCAGUACCUGGAUGAAGUAGAUCUGCCAGAUGAUUCUACGUUUAAGGGCAAUGAGAUUGUCCCUGGUGGAACGAUUACAAUGCGCAUCUGGAGACAAGAUGGCUGGGGGCGUCUUGUGGCAGCUGCUGCAAAAGGAGAGACUGUGAAGGAAACGGAUGUGCCACAAAGACAACAGUGGUGUUUGAAAUGGAAGAUGUAUUGCUACAAAAACUCUGCAAAAAACUUGUGA